rnacentral:rRNA from 1 species
UACGUAGGGGGCAAGCGUUGUCCGGAAUCAUUGGGCGUAAAGCGCGUGUAGGCGGUUCGGUAAGUCUGCUGUGAAAGUCCAGGGCUCAACCCUGGGAUGCCGGUGGAUACUGGCGGGCUAGAGUACGGAAGAGGCGAGUGGAAUUCCCGGUGUAGCGGUGAAAUGCGCAGAUAUCGGGAGGAACACCAAUUGCGAAGGCAGCUCGCUGGGACGUCACUGACGCUGAGACGCGAAAGCGUGGGGAGCAAACAGG